AUGUCCGAAAGAUUGGCACAUCUGAAUGCGAUCUGUCUCACCUUGGGGAAAGUGUGGUGCUCGAUCAAGGGGAUCACCUGCGCAGAGAUUGGGGUAAAUCAAUUUAUCUUCACGUUUCAUCGGGAUUCAGGCAAGAGGAAGGCUUUGGAGAACAGACCAUGGAUGUUUGAUCAGAAGUUGGUGGUGGUGGAGGAGUACGAGCCCAGCAAGCGGCCGGAAGACUAAACCUUCAAUGAUAUCCCGAUCUGGGUUAGCGUUUUCAACCUCCCAUUGGGCAUGAUGAAUGAGGACUCGGCAGAAGAUAUUGGCAGCAUCAUUGGCAGAUUUGUGGAGGCUGAUACAGGAGCGGACGAUAGGGCUGUUGGUAGGUUCCUCAGGAUCAAAGUUCGAAUGCAGAUUGACAAGCCAAUCAUGAGGAGGUUCACCCUGGAGGAUGAAUGUAAGCCUAAGGGUGUGUGGGGGGAGCCUUGAGCAAGGGCUAUUGAUGAGAAAGAGGGAGAGGAUGGAGACUGGUGUGGGUUCAAAUAUGAAUACUUGCCGGAUUUUUGUUAUACAUGAGGUGUCAUUGGGCAUGGGGAGAAAGAGUGUAUGAUCAAGCUGAGGAAGGGAGAGAAGCAGCAGUUUGGUCGUUGGCUUAAAGCUGACAUCGGAAAGAGGAGGGGUGAUGGAGGAGGGAGCAAGGAGAUUGGGAAGUCGUGGCACAGGAGCUUCUCACAGCUUUGGUUACAGUCGCCCUGGUGGCCUAUCUGGUAG
rnacentral:rRNA from 1 species